UUCCAUUGGUGGGAAUUUUGAGUGAGAAUGAUCCACAUGAUUGAUAAGAGCAGGGAAUGAUUAGCUUCAAGCGCAUAGCAAAGAUGGGAAAAUAAUAUAUUUAACGUUGUAUGGAGAUGCAGUACUUGAUGCGCUCCUCUGGAUCCGCUGCCCCUCUUUGUUUCUGAUUAUUGUUCUUCUCAUAUACUAUCAAAUUUCCAUGGAUGGGAUCUGAUGAAUGGGUAUCCCGUGUCUACAGCAACUCGCAUGGUCUGAUCCGGAAGUACGGGUGUGCUGCAGGCAUUGCUUCCACAACUAUGCCAAGGACAUUGGCUUCAUCAAGUACCAUUAAGAAUGGAACCUCAAAGGAAGCAAGGACUAUGAAGUUAUCAUCAAACUGUGGUGUUUCAGCGAGGACGAUCUUUAUCAACAAUGAGGGUUGAAUUAGAUCUUCACAGACAAAUACAUCUUUAUGUAAUAAAAAUGCUGAUAUGAUGAUCGGGUAUAAUAUUACAGAAAAUAUGAAAAUUCAACGGAUUUGUUUUCAUUAUCAUUAUAGUAAUCAGAAUGUUUUGUCUUGCACCAUAUUAUUGGUUCAACAUCUUUAUUUGUAUGAUGUAGGA